UGAGGAAUCUUGCGCAAUGGGCGAAAGCCUGACGCAGCGACGCCGCGUGGAGGAUGAAGGUCUUCGGAUUGUAAACUCCUGUCGAGUGGGACGAAUGCCGUGAGGGUGAACAAUCCUCAUGGUUGACGGUACCGCUGGAGGAAGCCCCGGCUAACUCCGUGCCAGCAGCCGCGGUAAUACGGAGGGGGCUAGCGUUGUUCGGAAUCAUUGGGCGUAAAGGGCGCGUAGGCGGCCGAUCCAAGUCGGAGGUGAAAUCCCUCGGCUCAACUGAGGAAUGGCCUUCGAUACUGUUCGGCUUGAGUCCUGGAGAGGGUAGCGGAAUUCCCGGUGUAGCGGUGAAAUGCGUAGAGACCGGGAAGAACACCAGUGGCGAAGGCGGCUACCUGGACAGGUACUGACGCUGAAGCGCGAAAGCUAGGGGAGCAAACAGGAUUAGAUACCCCCGUAGUCCCUGAGCGGGCUGGCAAGGCGCAU
rnacentral:rRNA from 1 species